UCCGGUUGAUCCUGCCAGAUCCGACUGCUAUCCGGGUAAGACUAAGCCAUGCAAGUCGAAUGGAACAGCUAGUUCCAUGGCGAACUGCUCAGUAACAAGUGAUCAACUUACCCUUCAGUGGAGCAUAACCUCGGGAAACUGAGGCUAAUUCUUCAUAGUUGGAACUGCCUGGAAGGGCUUUCCAUCGAAAGAUAUUCCCAAUUGCGGGAUGUUCGCUGAAGGAUAGGAUCGCUUUCGAUUAUGGUAGUUGGUGAGGUAAUGGCUCACCAAGCCUAUGAUCGAUAAGGGCCGUGAGAGCGGUAGCCCUGAGAUGGAUACUGAGACAAUGAUCCAGGCCUUACGAGGCGCAGCAGGCGCGAAACCUUUACAAUGCACGUCAGUGUGAUAAGGUUACCCGGAGUGCUAAGAGAACAACUUUUAGCUGUUAUAGGUGUGUAAAUAACCCUAUGAGAAAGGAGAGGGCAAGGCUGGUGCCAGCCGCCGCGGUAAAACCAGCUCUUCAAGUGGUCGGGAAUUUUAUUGGGCUUAAAGUGUCCGUAGCCGGUUUGAACAGUUCCUGGUUAAAUCUGGUAGCUUAACUAUCAGUCAGCUAGGAAUACUAUCUUACUAGAGGGUGGGAAAGGCUUGGGGUACUCCGGGGGUAGCGGUGAAAUGCGAUAAUCCUCGGGGGACCACCAGUGGCGAAGGCGCCAAGCUGGAACACGCCUGACGGUGAGGGACGAAAGCCAGGGGAGCGAACGGGAUUAGAUACCCCGGUAGUCCUGGCCGUAAACGAUGCGUGCUAGGUGUUGGAAGGGCUAUGAGCCGUUUCAGUGCCGUAGGGAAACUGUUAAGCGCGCCGCCUGGGAAGUACGCUCGCAAGAGUGAAACUUAAAGGAAUUGGCGGGGGAGCAC
rnacentral:rRNA from 1 species